GCUAUGGUGACUGAGUCAGGCUUAAGGUGUCCGCCUGGAGAGCGGAUGUGCGAGAGCACCAGAGGUUCAAAUCCUCUUCAUAGCG
rnacentral:tRNA from 1 species